rnacentral:lncRNA from 1 species
AAACCCCGUCUCUACUAAAAAUACAAAAAAAAAAAAUUAGCCAGGUGUGGUGGCAGGCACCUAUAGUCCCAGCUAUUCGGGAGGCUGAGGCAGGAGAAUGGCGUGAACCCAGGAGGCGGAGCUUGCAAUGAGCUGAGAUUGCAGCACUGCACUCCAGCCUGGGCGAUCAAGCGAGACUCCAUCUCAAAAAAAAAAAAAAAAUUAGCUGGGCAUGGUGGCAGGCACCUGUAGUCCCAGCUACUUGGGAGGCUGAGGCAGGAGAAUGGCAUGAACUCAGGAGGCAAAGCUUGCAGUGAGCAGAGAUUGUGCCACUGCACUCCAGCCUGGGCAACAGAGCGAGACUCGGUCUCAAAAAAAAAAGAAAAGAAAAGGAGGGUUACAGAUCAUUGCACAUGGAAAAUAUUUCCAGCAGUAAACACUCCCAUUAAUGUGAUCUACAGCUUUUAAAAAGGAGCAUCUCAGAAUAAGAUGGUGGUACAAUUUGCUUAUUGAGAAAGGAAAAAAAAAAACACACGAGUAUAUUACAAGGGGAAAAGAAGGAAUGUGAUUUCUCAUGAUUGAAAGCUUGAUUUAGAUUGCAUACAGCUUUUGCUACCCAAGACCAAGCAGCUCUGGCAAGACAGGGUGGUUUUCCAAAUGCCAGACCGAGGUGCCUUAUGAAGGCAGCUGCCGAUGGUUCCAGAUGUAGAGAGAUAGGUGAUGCAGGAGGGAAAGCUGGAUUGGAAAAGGGAGAGUUUUGUAGACGGGCUACACUCAUUGUGGCUUUGAAAGAGCAGAGCCGGCAGCCUCUAGUCAUCAUUUGGAUAUACAGGACUAGAGCAUGAAUCUGAUGUAGAGCUACAGAAUGAAGAGCAACAGCAGCUGUUUAAAUACCGAGAAAGUGUGUAGAAUGAAAUUGGACAAGCCAAGCAUGGUGGUUUCAUGCCUUUAGUCCUAGCUACUUCGGAGGCUGAGGUGGGGGAAUUGCUUGAGCUCAGCAGUUUGAGUCCAGCCUGGGCCAGAUGGUGAGACCCUGUAUCUUAAGAAAAGAAAAAAUAAGACCAGGUACAGUAUCUCAUGCCUGUAAUCCCAGCACUUUGGGAGGCCAAGUUGAGAGGACUGCUUGAGUGUAGGAGUUCAAGACCAGACUGGGCAAUAAAGCGAGACCCAUUUCUACCAAAAAAAAAAUCAAGAAAUUAGCUGGACAUGGUGGCACAUGCCUGUGGCCCCAGUUACGUGGCAUGGCAGGCUGAGGCAGGAAGAUCACUUGAGCCCAGGAGGUGGAGGCUGCAGUGACCCAUAUUCAUGCCACUGCACUCCAGCCUGGGCAACAGAGUGAGACCCUCUCUCAAAAACAGAUAAAGUGGACAGAAAAUAGGUCGGUAAGGACUAAUCAUUUAAGGCACAAGUCCCCAGAAGAGUGGCUACUAGAGUGGGAGGAGGAAAAGCAGAAGGAGAAAGAGUUGAAGAUAGGCGAGGCUGUGGUCCCAGUGCUGAAUUCUGCCAAGCAGUGACUUGAUUCAUGAACACUCACUGGAUGCUGACCCUGUUGCUCUUCUGAGUGCUGGGGUAGAGGGGAGGAGAGGUGGAGCACAGUUCUUGCUUUUAUGAGCUUAUGUUCUAGGAAGUUCAAGUAUUUUUUCAGGUAGUAUGAAAUAGCAGGAAGAGGAAGCAGGCUAAAGGGACACAGAGUGAUUGGGGGCUAUUUUAAGUAGAAUGAUAAGGAAGAGCCUGUCUAGAGAGCUAUUUGAACAGUGACCUGACUGAAGGGACAACAGAAAGCAGUGCUGACAUUACAGGUAGCAGGAUGACUGCCAAGACAGAAACGCAUUUCAUAUGUGUUUGAGGAACAAGCAGCAAGGUGACCAGCAUGGGGAGAGUGGAGAAUGAGGGAAACCUUGAAUGAGAAUAAAGCAAUUCCAUCUUGGAGGCUAAUCUGCCAUAUUCUGAUUAAUCCCAGUUCCAAGAAUUCAUCUACGAUUUCUAUUUUAUCUUUUUAAAAAAUUAUUUUUUAUUUUUUAUUUUUUGAGACUGAGUCUCACUCUGUCUCCCAGGUUGGACUGCAGUGGCACAAUCUCAGCUCACUGCAAACUUCACCUCCUGGGUUCAAGCGAUUCUCCUGCCUCAGCUUCCCGAGUAACUGGGAUUACAGGCGCCUGCCACCACGCCUGGCUAAUUUUUGUAUUUUUAGUAGAGACGAGGUUUUACCGUGUUGGCCAGGCUGGUCUGGAACUCCUGACCUCAGGUGAUCCGCCCACCUUGGCCUCCCAAAGAGCUGGGAUUGCAGGCGUGAGCCACCGUGUCUGGCCAUACACAUCCCUGCCGAAGCCCGCAUUACCCUUCCCCUAUGCUAUAGAAGCC